CCUCUAUAACAAAAAAAGGCACCUAACAUCCCUCAGCGCGGCUGUGCUUCUGUUUUGCCAAGAAUAAAGGCCUUUCCAUCAGCCGGUUGCUGAGUUCUUGACUUGUUGAGAGGUGCCAGUAUCCUAACAUUUGGUGUCAGUAGUGGGAUCGGGAGCCCUCAGAACACACACCAGUUGGGUCCGAGCCCCGAUUCCUUCCGCGCUCCAAGUAUUGACCUCCCUUCCGGCUCACAUCCACUCGCCCAGACGCUAGACCUCAUCCAGAUAGAUCAAGUACAAAAGUCGGAAGGUCCCACAUCCUUUAAGGCGCAAGAAACGGGGCCACUGAAGCUUCAGCUCACCCGAGUUCCAGAGAGUCCCGAAACUGGUUCUGAAACCGAGCUGUAAGAUGCCACCCAAGACCCUCGUCCUCCUCUCCCUUUUCCUUCUCCCCCUCUUCUCUCCGACGCUACAGUCCCCUGGGUCCUCAACCACUUCCCAGCUCAUCUGGUCCCUGUCACGAACAGGCACAGACCCCCUGACAAUAGCAAGAGUUUCAGCCACCGCUGGGGCCCAGAUCAAGUUCGAGGUCAGUCUCUGUCGAUUCUUUGAACGCUCCAGUAAUGUUCAUACUCCUUCCUUAACUAGGUGGUGGGGUCCAAACUCAGGAGAUAACUCCAAGCAGUGCUCUAUAGAGGCAGCAAAUGCCCUGGGAAGCCAUCCAGUGCAGCCCUAUCUAUGUCCCAGUGGAAAUCCAGACUCCUCUUGCCAUGGCUCCAACCAGUUUCACUGCAGCAAGUGGGGCUGUGAGUCCAUAGCAACUUGGAAAUCGAGCUCAGACCCUUUUAUUUCCUGGACACCAACAAACUACCCCAAUAUGUCCUGCAGUACUUUCUGCUACAAAACUACCAUUUCUAUCCUCAAUUCUAGCGAUCCCAGCUGGUUGCUGGGACACUCUUGGGGCCUGCGGCUCUAUCUCACUUCCACGAUUGACCCUGGAGUGGAAUUUAACAUCAAAGCUCAGACUUCCGUAUGCCCCCCUGACUACCCCUCCACUGCCAUCACAUAUUAUACAGAUUGUUAAUAAUCACCCCCUAAUUCUUAACCAACAUUUCAAACUACAUCUCAACCUCUCUGCCUUAAAUCUCAACAGCUCCAGCUCACCUGUGACUCUAUCCUCAGGAUGUAUCCCUUAGUCAAACACCUCCCCCAGUCUAGCCGGGGAUGCUGGAUAGGACUAAACCUGCAAGGUCUUCCACACACCAAAUUACAGGCUGUCUCUAUGGUCUUCCCCACCAACAAUUUCACAUUCUCCAACGUAACAAGCAGCACCCCUAACGCCUCAACCCUUCUCAGUGAUAUCAGCCCACCUCCAAUCUCCCGAUGCUUUCACUUAAAAUAACACCACACCACAUUAACCCCUACACAAUGUGAUGAGAUUUCCACAUUCCCUUCCCAUCUCCCUAACAGGUGCGACCCUUUGCUAUUCCAUUUGCGUUGGACCGCUCUAUACUAGGCACAGCCUAUUAAUUUUGCUGCUGUAUGCGCCCCCGUUUUCAGAAUCCCUGACUUCAAGCUCAUAGCAGGAGAUGACCCCGUCCCUAUACCUUCAGUAUCUGUCAUCCUGGGCCACCGAAAAAGAUCUUUGCAAAUUGCCAUUCUUCCCCUCAUCGCUGUACUUGGAGCAACAGUCGGUCUAGCCACCGGCACAGAGGGCAUUGUCCACUCAGUGGCUAGCUUUAAAUCACUAAGCCAACAACACAGGAAAGACAUACACUGAACCGGUCAAAUAAUCCUGACCCUUCAACAACAGAGCAACUCCCUAGCCCGGGUAGUAUUACAAAAUCGCCGCGGGCUAGACCUCCUGCUGGCGGGAGAAGGAGGGCUCUGCCUAGCUCUCCAAAAGAGCUGCUUUUUCUGUUAACCAGUCAGGAAUAGUCACCAACAAGAUACAUUCCCUGCAAGAAGAUCUUGAAAAUCGAAGGCGCCAGUUAAACCAGGCCCCGCAGGGUUUCUCAUGGCUCAGUAAUAACCCACCUUUGCUGGCUCUCCUCCCCUUGCUAACCCCCAUAAUUCUAAUAUUGGGCUUGGCAGCUGUCUCUCCUUGUCUGUUCCGCUUCCUACAGAUACAAAUAUCUAAAUUGUCUCAUCAGACUGUUACCUAGCUUGUCUUACAGGCUCCUCCCAACCAAGUUCUUGAGCUCCAAGAAGAAACCACGGUUUUCCGCGAGUGGGCCCCUCGGACUGAUUCCUAACCUGUCCUAGAUACAGUUCCAUGACCUGGAUCAGGAUUCAUCUAUGAUUUCAGCAUCUCAUAACCCAGCUACAACAAGAUCUUCACUGGCACUGCCCCCUGGAAGGGUCCAGAUGGAAUUAUAGAGUGGAUCACAGACAAUUUCUAUCAGGGAACCCGCCAAGAUUUUAGCUCAGAAAAAGUUGCCUUCUAUACCCUUCUCCUUAUCUGCUGGCUUACGCUCCCACCCCCAAAACAACUACAAGUUGAGCCAUUAGAUUAAAAUCUCCCAAGGGCCCCAAAACUCUCCCAACCCCUAAUAUGGGACACACAAUUCUUUUCACAUAUCUCACAACGGUACCUGUCGCCUACUCAAAGAGACCUGAUCUGCCGCUCGUACUCACCCAGAGAUUGCCCUUUCUGUGCUGAGUAUGUGAGCUCCUCCUAAGACUCAUCAUGGCAGAGACAAAACAACCUAGUCCUGCUCCCAGGAUAAUGCAGUUCCCACUGACAAAACUUCAAGGCCCCUAAAAAGUUACGUACAUAACUCCCUGGCAGUGUUAUUAUUCUUUGAUUUUUGUCAAGGAAAGUCCUUUUCAUCAUCCGUAUAUAAAACCUUUAAGGUACAUUUUAAUGAAUUUCUUCCUCGCCGCUUUAGGCCUCCCUCCCGAUGGCUGUGCUGCCCCCUGAGUUCCUAUACACGCCCAGAUCAACCCCCGUCACUCUGCGAUCCUGCCAUUAUUGCAUCCCCGGAAACCCCUAAACAAGCAGCCCUUCACAAGGAUAAGAGAUAACAGAACAAAGAUCCCUCCCUUGGCCUCGCAUCACCCCACACCUGCCCCUUUUCAGCAGGAAGUAGCUACAGAAGAGAGAUUCAUUGCCCCUCUUCCUGAGGCCAUAACAAACAAAAAGGGGGAAAUGUAAGCAGCCCAGUUUCCCCUUCCUCCAAAGCCCUGAUAAGUUUCGGUUUCCUAAACUGACUUAGGUUUCGCCCUCCCCAAAUCGUCCCUUACAAGAAAAGGAAACCUAUGAGGCACCUCCUGUCCCAUCUCUUUCUUCUGGGCCCUUUAUAACAUAUGAAAGGGCACCUAACAUCCCUCAGCGCUGCUGCACUUCCGCUUUGCCAAGAAUAAAGGCCUUUCCAUCGUC